CCUACGGGAGGCAGCAGUGAGGAAUAUUGCGCAAUGGAGGCAACUCUGACGCAGCCAUGCCGCGUGCAGGAAGAAGGCGCUACGCGUUGUAAACUGCUUUUAACCGGGAAGAAACCCCAGGACGUGUCCUGGGUUGACGGUACCGGAGGAAUAAGCACCGGCUAACUUCGUGCCAGCAGCCGCGGUAAU
rnacentral:rRNA from 1 species